rnacentral:misc_RNA from 1 species
GCCACUUUUUUUUUUUUUUUUUCUAUUUUUUCCGUUUAGAUCCUUAUCCCCACCCCCAUGUUUACUUUCUUUCUUUAAAUGAUCAGGAAAAUUCGCAACAUAAUUAGAAAACACUAACUUCAAUCAAAGACUGAAUAAUCAGCUUGAGCAAGUUAGUCAUCAGAUGGGCAUGAGUCCUUGCAGGCAAGAGGUUUGGGUUUCGUGGAAUCCCCUUUCUGGUAGAAGCUUUAAGGUGAAUAGUAAUGGAGCUGUGCAGACUAAUAAAAAUGCCUAUGGUGAAGGUUUAAUCAGGGACUCUUGUGGGAAUUGUGUAGGAGGUUUGGUGACCAACUGGGGGUGUUCAAUGCAUGGCAAAGAUAAGGGCUCCUUACAGGGGGCUGCUUUUAGCCAGAAGGUUAAAUGUUGAGAACUUGCGGGUUGAUUGUGAUGGUCAAACUGUUGUGGAGUCGAUCUAAAGUUGUACAGAUCCUCCUGGCAGUGUGAGAACUUUGCUUUCUGCGGUGAAGGAUUUGCUGCAGAGUUAUCGGAGGUUGAAGGUGGAUAAUGUGUGGAGGAAAGCAAACUUUAAUGCCGACUUCCUUGCUUCGUUUGCUUCGAAUUUUUCAGUGGAAGUUCAUGAAUUGGUGUAGACUCCUCAAGAUCUCUGCUUUUGGCUUCGGCAUGUCCAGUGUGGCAUUGCGUACCUGCGGGCUUGUUUGGUUUAGUGUUGUGUUUUGAGCUUUGAUACUCCCCUUAUGUGUUGCUGGGAUACAUGAAGACU